UCUCUCCCUUUUCUCUGCAACUCCGGCCACCUCACGAUUCCGGCCACCUGGGGACGAACGAGUGGCACCGUUGGACUCCUCUACUCCUACCCAACCUCCCCACAGCGGUAACUCACGGCGGCUUGGCCGAAAAACGAUGCAUCGGGUCCUUGAAGUUUACUGUAGCAGUUUGGGGUUUCGUCGAUUUCCGGUGAUUCCGGCCAUCUCCAGCCACCAAACCGGCGUCGAAGGUUCGGUUUUUGCCAAGGAUCAUUAUGCCCCUAGCCUUGAGCCACGACUUGAAGCAUGGAGGAAGAAUCGAAGGGCAAUGUUGCGAGCUACGGCUAGAUGAAGGGACUCGUUUGCGUGGUCGCCAACUAGUACUUUUGCAUGCGUUAUUAGUUGAGGUCGGGCGUACAUGGUUUGAGGCAUAGUUGAUGAAUGGCUUCCGCACUUCUUUGUUGGCUCUGAUCUAUUGUGGGUUACUAUUUUGGGUAGUCCACUUUAGGGGUGACUCGACCAGUUCUCGGUAGAGUUAUCUCUAAGGUGGGCCCCGCAGGGCCACCUCGGAUUUCGGGGCGGGUCCUGUCAAAAUCACCCUAGUUAGAAGGGGAUUAACAAUCCUGAAAGUGAACUCAUUUCUUGCAUGCCACACCUAUUAGCUCACAAGUUGUUGAAGAGGAAAGAUCCCACAUUAGAAAAGUGACAAAUAAAAAUAUAACUUAUAAGUGAUUGGCUCACACCCAGUUGUACCAAGACCUUUUGUGAUUAAAACCCAACACCUAACGGGUGGUUAAGUUGGGACAGUAUCGGUACAAUGCCUGGCUACAGGUCACGCUUGUCGCUGUUUAGCAUCGUAUUAGAGUGUGUCCCUAUCCAAUCACGUCUCCAAUUAUCACGAGUUCAUUAAAUUGGCCAUCGAAACUAUUCCAAUUGGGUUGUUAAUUCACCAAGUUUUCGAUGUGGGACUUGUGUCCCAAUUUUCAAUGUGGGAGUUGGAUUUGUUAGUUGAUGCCCAAGUCUCCAACGUGGGACUUGUGCCUCAAUUUCCAAUAUGGAAAUUGGAUUGUUAAUUGAUUGUACAUGCAGACCUAGAGCUAGGUUGCACGUGAGGGGGCGUGUUGGAGAG